rnacentral:rRNA from 1 species
UCAGAAUAAAAGUAGUUACGUUCUUCAUAACUCAAAGAAUUUGGCGGUUAAUAAAAGUUUCAGAGGAACCUGUAUUUUAAUUGAUAAACCACGAUAGAUAUUACCUUUAUUUUUAUUUGUAUAUCUCUAUUUUUAGAGUGUUUUUUGAGAAUUAUUUUCUUUUAGAGUUUAUCAUUUAUAUUAGGUCAAGGUGCAGUUUUAAUAAGGUUUAUAUGGGUUACUUUAGUUUUAAUUAUUUGUUAAAUAAAUUCUUUUAGAAUAUUUAUGUUAAAGGAUUUGAUAGUAAUUUAUAUUUAUUAAUUUUUUUGAAUAUU